AGUAAAUAGAUACCCUGGUAGUCUACGCCGUAAACGAUGCGCACUAGGUUCGAGAGCCUCUGACGGUGCUCGAGCCGAAAAACAAAAGCGAUAAGUGCGCCGCCUGGGGAGUACGGCCGCAAGGCUAAAACUCAAAGGAAUUGACGGGGGCUCACACAAGCGGUGGAGCAUGUGAAUCAAUUCGAAGCAACGCGAAGAACCUUACCUGGGUUUGACAUGCACGGAUGGUCUCGAGGAAACUUGAGUAAUCUGCCUUCGGUGAAACGUGCACAGGUGCUGCAUGGCUGUCGUCAGCUCGUGCUGUGAAGUGUCGGGUUAAGUCCCUUAACGAGCGAAACCCUUAUCGCUAGUUGCCAGCGGGUCAUGCCGGGAACUCUAGUGAGACUGCCGGCGU
rnacentral:rRNA from 1 species